CGUCGAUGCUGCAUCCUUCUGCAGCCAGAGGGGGCCUUCGGGCAGAGAGUGGCAGAGGCUGCAAGAAGAAGCCACUGACAUGAUGGCCAUGGCGCACAGCAGGACAACACUCAUGUGGACAGUGUGUUCUGCAGAAACCAAGACCUAAAGGGACUGAAGUGACCUCCUGGAUCCCACUGUGAGUUAGGCUGGACCGAGGGUGCUUUCUGCCACACAUCCCUCCCUCCACCACCUCCCUGUGGUCAGGUCUGUGACUCAUCCUUGCCCCUCCUCCUUCACAUGGUUUAAUAAGAAAACUUUGGUGGCAGAUACAGCAGUACCUUGAAAAACAUCGAUUGGUUUAAAUCUAUGAAACUUUGGAGCCCGUCUCUGAAAAAGCCCCUCUCAGAAAAAGACCUUCUCUCCGUCUUUGCAUCCCCGUCUCUGCACGUGGGAGGCUUGGAGGUGAAGAGAUAUGCAGCCGUGUCACAUGGUGUCAUAAGUGGUGGAAUGAGAUGACCCCAAAGCCCUGCUCUGAUUACCAGAUUCCCUUUGCCCCAGCACCAAAGCAGAGGAGACCCAGAAGGAUAAGCCAGAGCAUUGGAGAGCUGGGUUCCCACCCCAACAGUAAGGUAAGAGCACCCCAUCUGUACCCUCACCACACCAUGGCUGCCUCAUUCUGAGGCCUCAAACAUACCUAUGCUGCAUGCUCAGUCAUGUCUGACUCUUUGUGACCCCAUGGACUGUAGCCCACCAGGCUCCUCUGUCCAUG
rnacentral:lncRNA from 1 species